rnacentral:rRNA from 1 species
UAGGGAAUCUUCGGCAAUGGACGAAAGUCUGACCGAGCAACGCCGCGUGAGUGAAGAAGGUUUUCGGUUCGUAAUACUCUGUUGUUAGAGAAGAACAAGGACUUUAGUAACUGAACGUCCCCUGACGGUAUCUAACCAUAAAGCCACGGCUAACUACGUGCCAGCAGCCGCGGUAAUACGUAGGUGGCAAGCGUUGUCCGGAUUUAUUGGUCGUAAAGCGAGCGCAGGCGGUUUCUUAAGUCUGAUGUGAAAGCCCCCGGCUCAACCGGGGAGGGUCAUUGGAAACUGGGAGACUUGAGUGCAGAAGAGGAGAGUGGAAUUCCAUGUGUAGCGGUGAAAUGCGUAGAUAUAUAGAGGAACACCAGUGGCGAAGGCGGCUCUCUGGUCUGUAACUGACGAUGAGGCUCGAAAGCGUGGGGAGCAAACAGG